rnacentral:ncRNA from 2 species
GAUUUAUAAAGAAGAGGUGAGAGAACAGGCUCCAAGACCCUCUGGCAACCAUCCCGACACAUCAGGAAAGGUGCCAAUACCUGCCCUAAGUGGGAACUAUAAAUU